rnacentral:lncRNA from 1 species
UACAAAUAAUUUCACUUUUAAUAUAACAGCACACUAUAUGUAGUGCAUAAAAUAACAACAUUAUUCAACUGAAACUCAAGUACAAAUUCACGAAUACAUGAACAUAAUAAUCCUCACUCAGACUUAAUUACAGGCACACACAUAAAUCAUUUUCUUUUUUAGCACUAAAAAUUGAAUAAUAAAACAUGUGAUAUUAUGCUAUGCAGUUUGUUUUUGUAAAAUAAAAACAAGAUAUAGAUGUACAUGCUGUGACUUAAAUACAAGCAAGUAACAUGAGUAACAAGGACUUGCAGAUACAUUUUAAAGAGUAGGAAUAAAAUAAAUAAUUAUUGUAAAUAAAUUAAUUAAAGAUUUGAAUGUACAAUUAUGAAAUUAUCACAGAAGCACUUACUGCUAAAAAAGUCAAAUACAUGUAACAACCGAAAUUGGAUAUUUUUUUAUCACAACAGCAGCAAUUUCAAUCAAAAUCAUAAAAAUACACAAAUAAGACAAAAUUUCUCAAAGCAUUUAGUUGCAUCCAAGCUUGCCACACAAGUUUUCAAAAGCAUUCCAGAAAAAACAUAUAAAUCAUUCCAUCAUUAAAUAAAUUCAUUUGAUUUUGAAAAGUUCUCAUGAUCAUAUAUAGAUUUUGACAUUCGUACCAAAAGUAAAACAAUGCAACAAAACUUUUUAAAUAAAACUUUAAACAUUGAACAUUUGUCAUACAGUACUUAAACAAUAAAUAAUUGUAAUCUUAGAAAAUCUCAUCCAUACAUUGUAGUAACAUACAUGUAUCUUCCUUUUUCAUAAAAAGGACACUUUAACAUCUUAUGAUGCUAAUUAUCUGCAGUACCUGAUAAUAAGUAAGCUAAUAAAAACCAGAUGCUCCGCAGGGUGCAGCUUUAUACGACCGCAGAGGUUGAAUCCUGAACGGUUGGGGCAAGUUUGGACACAACAUUCAAGCUGGAUUCAGCUUUAAAUUAGGAUUGUGAUUAAAUAGUUGACACAGCAUAGGUUUCUGACACAGAAUGAAUUUGGUCUAAUGAACUUAAAAUUUUUGUUUUGCCUUUGAGCAAUUCACUAUGCUGUUGAAUAUUAAUCUUCUCAAAAAAAUGUUUGAAGAAAUUUUCUUUUUAUUUAUGAAAUCUGAAAUGAGAGAAAUUGAC